GAGAGACUGAGUUAGAGAAAUUGGCAAAUCCAAACACAAGUAAAACCAACUACCUUUUAGUUGCCACUAAAGUGUGGUUGCUCAACUAUGGACACCAAGUAUGCUUCUAAAAUUUAAAGGAUUUUACCCUCUUGAAAAUUAAACCCAUUUUUAUAUCCACUGCAGUAAAAUAGAAAAAGGAGGUGAAAUGUGUAUUUCCCUUUGCAUUACACUAAAAAGGGAUGUAAAUGCAAGCAACAAUCAUUCAAUCAAAUCAACUUCUAGCACCAACCCAUUAAUUAAAAUGGAGCAUUUCAUCUAAGAAGCAGUAACAAACAUUAAAAAUCAAUACAUAAAUGAAGAAUGAUAGUAGCUCAUGCAAUCAGUAACAAAAGAUUCCAAGAAUAGAUGACGAAGAAGUAUCUUACAGAG
rnacentral:misc_RNA from 1 species